UGCCUGCAAUACAUGGCUCCUUAAUUGGUC
rnacentral:piRNA from 1 species